rnacentral:lncRNA from 1 species
ACAUAACUAGCUAGUAUAUUGGACCUAAACACUUAACAGCAUGAUCCUCACCAAGAACAAGAUAAAGAGAAGGUUAACUAUCUCGAUGUCCUAAAGAACACUAGACUAUUUUACUUAGCAAAGUUAGAAGAGCUACCAGUCUCUCUGAUACAGCCUCCAGGGAGAAGGAACCUAAAUUUGUCCGCAUUCUUUAUCAGAUAAGCUGGAAGGUUAAUAGCAGAAGCUGAUUUGGGAAUCGGUCCCAUCUUUGCUGAUCACUUCCUUGAAUGUGUACCCUUCAGGCAACAUAUCGAAAAGAUCAUCUCCUUGACAAAUGAGCUUCUGUAUUCUUCCGUAAUCCAGAAAAUCUCUCCGCCACACACGGUCUGCGUGGCUAUAAGCACUCAUCUUGAACACAAACUCCUCAAUGUGCCGAAAGCAAAAACUACAAUGCCAUCCUGCAUCAGAGAGCAGGUCAUCAGCACGCCUCGAAUGCGUGUACCUGGUAUCCUUGCUGUAGAUAGUGGCUGCAGUCUUCCAGAUGCUGUCCAUNNNNNNNNNNNNNNNNNNNNUUGCUGAAGAUGAUGGCAUCGAAAAUACGGCGUGGGGUGGCACGCACGGACCAGCCAUGAAGGCGGCAGAGAUGUUCCAUGCUUGCAUUUUCUGCAUAGUAGUGUGGCAGCCAUGUGAACGGAGCUGGCGGCGUAUCCCAAAGUGGCCGCAAGAAGUAUGUAACUUUCCGGUAAUCUGUAUAGAAUCCUAACAUACAUGCAGACACAAAUAUCAACAGUAGGAGAUAAAAGAAGUUGCGUGGAGUUCGUCUGGAAUUAGGACGAAGAGAUCGUGGUGCCAUGCCGUGAAGGAUAUUUCUUCUCUUUUUGAAAGUAUAGCCGGGUGGUGUGCCAUCAAGCCUUGAUUAAAGAAACCGCGGAAUCCAUAACGGGACGUGGUGCCUAUACCCCAAUUUACAAAACUCAAGAGAACUUCCUGAAAUUAAUACAAACAUAGAGGUUUAGUCAUGUCAAAAAUCAUAGCUCUAACAAUCUUGAUCUACCUGCAUAGAGAAAACGUUUUUAAAUCAUGAUGAUAAACAAUGUACCUCACUGCUUUUGCACAAAUUGUAAUACUACCUGGUUUUCUUUAUCACAACUCAAAGUGACUGAAAGUGAGAUUCUUGAAACCCCACCAUGUCAUCUGAUAAAGGGGAAUUGAAAAGCCCUUUGGCAAAUAUUCAAAUACAUCGAUCGUAUGUUUUAAACCCAACAAAUCGUUCAAGAAAAACCAUGUCUAUCAUAGUUUUUUUGCUCACACCAUAAGACAUCAGUUCAAGAGCCUAUCUAACAUUUUAUGAAACAGCAACCAAAUCUCUCUUAGAUAAUUCAGGGUCUAAUAUGCAUUCCAGAAAUUCAAAUCCUAAAUUAAGAAAUCAAACUCGUAAAAACUCUUAGAAGGACAAUGAAACCAAUAAGAUAGAGAUAUAUACCUCCAGUGUCCGCAGGUACAAGAGAGCGAAGGAGGACAGCAAAGCCUAAGAUGGCAGAAAUUCUUGAGUUUGAGACUGAGCAGUCACCCGUCUAAAUUACAAAGAUCAACAAAGUGGGUAUGUGGUUGCUGUUCAAGCGGGGGGGGGGGUAGAUGUUUUGAAGAAAUUUUGUCUCCAUAUAGGAGAAUUUUCCCAACAAAGUGGAUAUGGACAAAAUUUGGUAGCUUUAUAAUAAACACUGGUGCGGUCGUUCUCAAGUCUUAAUGUUUGUGUAAGUUUUAUUAAGUGUAUGACUUGUGUUGGGCUUAAUUAAAUAGAGCCCAACUAAACUCGCUAGGUGUAUUUAGAGAUUUUAUAAAUUUGCUGGCCGAGUUUAAAAAGUUUGCUAGGUGUUCUUAAAUAUUUUCCUGCAGGAUGACCCAAUAGACCAGAAACAAGCUAGGUUAACCAGUUCUGUCAUACUAUCAAAUUCGAAAGUGAACUAAUUUUCUCAUCAACUUGGCACUCUAACUGUCUAGAUUUCCUAAAAAACACUAAGAUCAGGAGAUAACUCCUUGGCAAAGUUGAGAUCAAUUCUUGAAGAACCACCGUGUUUUUCUGAUGAAAUGGAAUUGAAAUAGUCCUCCAACUGCUGUUUAUAGCUAAUUUCAAGAUUCAAGUUGUAAUUAAGUCAGUGAAUUGAACGAUUCAUACCUAUAACAAUGCCUAAAGUUAAUGAAGUCUCUAAUGCAUGUCUCAUAAAGAGAGUAGGAAAACCAAGUACAAUCUUACGCCAUAGCAAAAGUGAUAAUAUAUUUGGCUAAUCGCAUCACACAAAUGUGCUUCUUAACUUGUAUGAAAAACAAAGAUCUACAAAACAUUAUGGGACAAAGUUUGAACGGUGAUUUAAUACAAUUCAAAAAAUAUAUAUGAUUACAAUCUUAGCUUUGAAUGUAUCAUAGAUUCAUAGCUAUGAACAGCGUUAUAUGAUCCAAAUAAAAACUUUCCAAGACGGUGUGGACUAAACCAAAUAGGUCGGAAAAUUGGUGUCUCAAGGGUGGCUAAAUUGGUUCUGACUUUUGUGCCACCCUAGAUUAUGAACAAAUCUUGGCCGCCUGAAUUUCCAGUGCACUACCUUGUUAUUUGGGAUGGAGAAACCAAGCAAAUUAGGCAUCAUGGUUGGUCAGAUUUUUGAUGCAUAAAUCCAUUCAGUAGUCCAUUCUAUAAACUGGUGGUCCUGGACUAUGCUUCGAUUCAUUUAUAAUAGGAGCAUGCAAUCAUGCAUGUCCCUGUGAUUGACUUUGAAAGUUUUGGCGACUACACCGACCCGGAGUACACGUACAUUUCAGUCACCGUCAAGUGUUGCGAACGAUCUAAGCCAUGCCUUCAAAAGAUGCGAGUUAAAAGAAAACACUACCGGGAAAGUCCUGACACACAACAUCUCUAGUUUAUCUUUAACGGUAACUAAUUGUGUCUAAAAUAUUUAUGAUAACAUAAAUCUAAAAGGACUAGGAAGAACGUUUUAUGGGUAUCGGGAUUGAAACAGUGGGUAUCGGGAUUGCAACAGUCCUCGUCGUACUUGACAGAAACGAAAAUAAAGAACACAACAAUUUGUUUACUCAAUAAAACCUCAAUUUGAGGAAAAACACUGCUGGGGCUUUAACUCUUAAAAGCCUCUAUUGAAAAGAAAAUACACUAUGAAUCAAGAACGAGUCAAUUACAAACUUUCUAGCACUAACUGCGGCUAUUAUCUCUAGAACCCCAGUAGAUAUGGUUGAAACACUCUUCUUCUUCAAAUAAUCUCUUCUUCAAUCUCCAAGGAACUAACCACAUCCUUGAUCCUUUAAUCACAUAAACAAGUUCAACUCAACACGAAACAGUUGAACUUGUGACCUUACAAAGUAUUGCAGCGGAAAUACUAUCUCUCAAAUGCUAUGCGUGCAAAGAUAGUUCUCUAAGAAUAAUUGUGCAAAAUGUAUUCUUCCAAUAGCUGUUGCAUCUUCUUUUAUAGAUGAAGAACUUCUACUCUUUAUUCACGUCUUUAAUCAGAUUGGUUUCCAAUAGAUAAGUCCUUCUCCUAUUACUAUACAAAGACAACAAUAAUAUCAGAUAUAAAAUAUAUCCCAAAUCAAAUAAUAAUAAUCAGAGUAUAUAUAACCUAAUCACAUUAGGUUUUCUUCCUUUUCAAGUGCACGAAUCUCAUGAUUUAAUGAAUCAACAUCCUAACCAAAUUAGGAUCCUUAUCUAUGAACGUAAUAGCUUCUUUCCCUGUGUAUAUCAUAUCCAAUUAAACAUAGAUAUAUAUAUAUAUAUAUAUACAUAGAGGAUGUAGAGCGGACGUCCGCACUCGGCUUAAAGUGCGGACGUCCAUCCGUUCUCCACCCUCCGGCGCCGGCGAUGGCGCGCCUCCACCCCAGAAGACUCCAGCAGCGUCCCCGACCACUUCUCCUCCCCGGCGAGUUCCGUUUUUUUCCAGUUUCCGGCGAGAUCGACUUUGUUUGAAGUUUUGGAUGAUCUCGCCAGAAAACCGGAAAAGAAUGGACUUGCCGGGGAGAGAAAGUGGUCGGGGACGCUGCUGGAGUCUUCUGGGGUAGAGGCGUGCCGGCGCCGGAGGGUGAAGAACGGACGGACGUCCGCACUUUAAGGCCGGUGCGGACGUCCGCUCCACAUCCGGCCUAUAUAUAUAUAUAUAUCCAUAUAUGUCAUAGUGAAAAUAGCCUUGCUUUUUUUGAACUCAAAGACAAUUUUGUUAUUAGUACUAAAGUAUAGGGUACAAUACGAAUCGAUUCGUUGCUGGAAACAAUAGUUCCUUGAUGUAAAUGAUCCAAAAUAGUAAAUUACCAUAGCACCUAGUAAAGUAGCAGCAGCAUUUGAACUUGUAGCAGCUCACCUCUGGGAGGUAAAUUUGUAGCUUGCAAAUGUGUAAUGUGUCGACUUCAGGAGAAGACUUUGGCUUUAGGAUUGAGCAAGGAAACAACGUUGUGCUUGCAUUUCCUUAAGGUGACACACUUAAACCGGCUAUGCUUACGUCCCUAAGUGGUUCCUAAUAACCCCAAUGAUCUGCUGCAAUAAUAUAUCUCUUUAUUCACACAAAGCCAUGUCCAACCCUCAUGUUAAUACAAGGUGCCGGAUAUGAAGCUUUAAUUGGUAUAUGGUGAAUUGAUGAUGGCUUCAAGGAUGAUGACUUGCUCACAUCGCGGAUGCAGAAACUUAACCUUCUUGAGGAAGAUAUGGAUCACAAUAGUAUAGAGUUCUGUGAGUUGAGCAAAUCCGAGAGAAAGGAUAUGAUUUCUAUGUUGAUCAUCAGACACAGGAGGAGGAGGAGGAGGAGGAGGCUUGUAAACCAAGUUUUCGAAGAAGUCAUUGUAUUGAGAGAGGUCUCCAAACUCUGAUGUCUUAACCACAGUGGUUCCCUUGGCAAGAAAAGAACCUCAGAGAAUAUGUGAGUUUCAUACUUUCAUUAUUAAUUUUAUAUUCUCAUAAUAUUUUAUUUUUGAUGAACAAGAAUUACCAAGCAUGUUAAUUAAGAGAAGAUUGAUUCAUGUUGUAGCAUUCUCCAGAAUGGUUGAAGUUAAGGAACCAUGAGAAUGUCCAUAAAGAUCACAAUGAUUCUUGUUGCGGAAGUACUAGACUUGAACACCAUACUUUAUAUCUCCUAACAUAACUAGCUAGCAUAUUUGACUUGAACACUUAACCGCAUGAUCCUCACCAAGGACAAGAUAAAGAGAAGGUUAACUAUCUCGAUGUCCUAAAGAACACUAAGAUCAGAAUGACUAUUUUCCUUAGCAAAGUUAGAAGAGCUACCAGUCUCUCUGAUACAGCCUCCAGGGAGAAGGAACCUAAAUUUGUCCGCAUUCUUUAUCAGAUAAGCUGGAAGGUUAAUAGCAGAAGCUGAUUUGGGAAUCGAUCCCAUCUUGCUGAUCACUUCCUUGAAUGUGUACCCUUCAGGCAACAUAUCGAAAAGAUCAUCUCCUUGACAAAUGAGCUUCUGUAUUCUUCCGUAAUCCAGAAAAUCUCUCCGCCACACACGGUCUGCGUGGCUAUAAGCACUCAUCUUGAACACAAACUCCUCAAUGUGCCGAAAGCAAAAACUACAAUGCCAUCCUGCAUCAGAGAGCAGGUCAUCAGUACGCCUCGAAUGCGUGUACCUGGUAUCCUUGCUGUAGAUAGUGGCUGCAGUCUUCCAGAUGCUGUCCAUGGGGAACUCAAAUGAGUACAGGUAAUGCUUCAUCUCAAGAUGCAAUUCAGAAGGGAUUCCCUCACACCAUU